rnacentral:rRNA from 1 species
UGGGGAAUAUUGCACAAUGGGCGCAAGCCUGAUGCAGCCAUGCCGCGUGUAUGAAGAAGGCCUUCGGGUUGUAAAGUACUUUCAGCGGGGAGGAAGGGAGUAAAGUUAAUACCUUUGCUCAUUGACGUUACCCGCCGAAGAAGCACCGGCUAACUCCGUGCCAGCAGCCGCGGUAAUACGGAGGGUGCAAGCGUUAAUCAGAAUUACUGGGCGUAAAGCGCACGCAGGCGGUUUGUUAAGUCAGAUGUGAAAUCCCCGGGCUCAACCAGGGAACUGCAUCUGAUACUGGCAAGCUGGAGUCUCGUAGAGGGGGGUGGAAUUCCAGGUGUAGCGGUGAAAUGCGUAGAGAUCUGGAGGAAUACCGGUGGCGAAGGCGGCCCCCUGGACGGAGACUGACGCUCAGGUGCGAAAGCGUGGGGAGCAAACAGG